ACAGCGCAGAAAUGCAGGUAAUGUUUUUUGUUUUGGAGAAAUAGUAAAAGUGGUGAAGGUGGAUAAAGUGAAAGCGAAUGUGAAAAGAAACGAUAUCGCCAUGAUAGCUGUAUUCCUGAUGCCUGCACCUGUUUUUGACACAAAGCAAAUGCUCAAACAGCUUCUGACAAGCGACGAUGAAUAGUAGUCACAAUUCACAAAUAGUUGCAGUGUAUAAAUAUGAACUGUUGCUGUACAGUAGUCAAACAGAUACUUUUGUAAUGACACUGUUAACAUUUGUUUCGCAUUCUAUUAAAUCUACUUGUUUAUCGAA